rnacentral:rRNA from 1 species
UGUAAGCUUUUCAAUUCUGACAAGUGCAAGAGCUCCUUGGGGCAUGAUGGAUUUAGUGAUUGGAGACAUAAUAAUGAGAGACCAAAAGAACAUGAAGUUAGUGUUAAGCAUAUUGCCAAUAUUAACUCUUGCAAUGAACAGAGAACUAGACUGGACAAGCAUUAA